rnacentral:lncRNA from 1 species
AUGGGACAAACACCUUCAUCCCAGCAUCCCAGUAUCCCAGCAUUCCAGCAUUCAAGCUCCAGCUGGGGCUCAGAAAGAGCAGAAGGAUAUAAGGUCCCUGCCUCAGUGUCUCUGUCCUUACUUUCAGUGGAUCUUUUCUCCAUCUUAUUUUUCCUUCUCUUGCCACAGGUAAAACUAAUAUGGUAUACUGUUUGGUUGUUCUUGUGGUUUUUUUAAGUAAGCUUUUAAAUUUUUAAUAAUUUUAGGUUAAUGAAAAAGUUACAAAGAGAAUACAGAGAGAUCCUGUAUACCUUCACUUGACUAUCCUUCAUUUACAUUAUGUGAUACACUGGUCAUGUUAAGAUACCAACUUCAGUACAUUACAUUAAAAACUCCAUACUUUAUUUGGAUUUCUCCAGUUUUUCCACAAAUGCCCUCUUUUCUUUCUUUCUUCUUUUUUUUGUGAGACAGGGCUAUCAAUUUGUCUCCCAGGCUGAAGUGCAAUAGCACAAUCACAGCUCACUGCAGCGUCUACCUCCUCGGCUCAAGCCAUCCUCCCACCUCAGCCUCUCCAGUAGCUGGGACUACAGGCACAUGCCACCAUGCCCAGCUAAUUUUUCUAUUUUUUGUAUAGAUGGAGUGCUGGGAUUACAGACAUGAGCCACCAUGCCGAGCACACAAAUGUCCUUUUUAUGUUCCAAUAUCCCAUCAAAGGUACCACACUGCAUUUGGUUAUCAUGUCUCUUUAGGCUCCCCCAAGAUGUGAAAGUUUCUUUGUCUUCUUUUCAUUUUCAGGACUUUUACAGUUUUGAGGAGGACUGGUCGGGUAUUUUGUAGUUUCCCUCCAAUG